UGGGGAAUCUUGCGCAAUGGGCGAAAGCCUGACGCAGCCAUGCCGCGUGAAUGAUGAAGGUCUUAGGAUUGUAAAAUUCUUUCACCGGGGACGAUAAUGACGGUACCCGGAGAAGAAGCCCCGGCUAACUUCGUGCCAGCAGCCGCGGUAAUACGAAGGGGGCUAGCGUUGCUCGGAAUUACUGGGCGUAAAGGGCGCGUAGGCGGAUCGUUAAGUCAGAGGUGAAAUCCCGGAGCUCAACUUCGGAACUGCCUUUGAUACUGGCGAUCUUGAGUGUGAGAGAGGUAUGUGGAACUCCGAGUGUAGAGGUGAAAUUCGUAGAUAUUCGGAAGAACACCAGUGGCGAAGGCGACAUACUGGCUCAUUACUGACGCUGAGGCGCGAAAGCGUGGGGAGCAAACA
rnacentral:rRNA from 1 species